GUGCUCACUUCCACAGCCAAUAUACUAAAAUUAGAAAGAUACAGUGAAGAUUAGCAUGGCCCCUGGCCAAGGAUCACAUGAAAAUUUGUGAAGCAUUCCAUGUUUUU
ensembl:snRNA U6 U6 spliceosomal RNA